GAACAUAAAGAGCAGCACUGACAGUUAAAGCCACCCAGCCCAUCCUAGCUGCCUCACUCAGCCUCACAGAAAGAACGCCUACCACCCCAUGUAGGUGAAUUAUCACCACCAGGUCCCGGGGUUCCACACCUCAGUUCAACUGGAGACCAGCCUGUCUGUGAAUAGCCCAUUGCCCCACAGUAAAUAGUGGAGAGAAUGGUUCCAGAAUGCUAUACCACAGGCAAGGCGAAGCUUCAAAGACAGUCAGUAAUGUUCUCCUUAAUUCAGUACAGGCUUCAGGCCAAACUAAGGGACUGGUGGUAAGGAAGACUGAUCUAGGUGUGGGUGUCAGAUUCAAAAUAUAGCAAGGAAGCAGAAUAAGCAGGUUAAUUGGACUUACACAGUCCUGGAUUGGUGACCUCAGAUGCUGAUGUCCCUGGUCAAGAAUUUUACUGGGAGAACCAUGUUGGGCCACUUCUGGAAGCCAGGAAACCCCACACAGUCACUAACGGCAAAUAUUCUAUAUUUUAGUUAAAACUACUGCCUGUUUUAUUUAUUUAUUUAUUUAUUUUUACUCCUUCAAAUUUCUUUCAGGUCAUCUUAAGAACUUUCACUUUGUCCCUCUGUCCCUCAAAAGUCAUCAGUAGUAAGGCUCCUGUCCCAAGCACUCGAAAACCGAUACCCAGAUAUCUAAGAUGAGGUGGCAUCGAAUCACUAUUUCUAAGGCCUUUUUUCUUGAAAGCAAGGCUUGUUCCUAAAGUAUUUAUACUGUGAGUGGGUCCUCUCUAGGAGGAUCUUCCCAGACUCUUCCAGAAUAUCACAAGGUGAAGAGUCCUAAUUGGUGAUGGGUGAGAUACACUCCUAAGGAAAAUAUCCAUCCUUUUACAUGUGGACAAAAUCCAGAGCUGUGUGAGAAACUGUUCAGCAAGCAGGAAACUCACACCAGGCGGGAGCUCAUCCAUCCCCAUGCAGUCACUACACAGCCCAUGAGCUGCAGCCCAGAGUGGCACAUGGCUCAUCAGGAUCUGCGCCAGGACCCAGCUCUCUCUUCUCCCAGCCCAGCGGUCACUCCUCCCCUGGUUUAUGUCAUUGAUCCAGCAGUGCUGUGUCAUCUGUCUUUCCUAUGAGAAAAGACAACAUGAUCUUCAUGCAGAAGAAAGAAUCAUGUCACUUAAUGACAAGGCUACAUCCUGAAACGUGCUAGUGACCCUGAAGACACCAAAGAGCAAACACGCAAACCUACAUUGUGUGAGUCAAUCACUCGCUGUGGUCCCUGCCGCAAUCAAGAGAUGUGGUAAGCCCGAGAUGUAUGGCAGGAGGCUGCUGUCUGCUGUUUACAGAAAACCCUUUCCUAAGUGGAGGGAGAACAUUCUAACCUAACACUAAAAUAUGUGUGGUGGACUGACAGGAACCAGAAGCAGUCACAUGUCACCGGCCUGUAUGACUAGUAUGUGCUGUACUCUGUACAGCUGACAUCACAGUGGACUCGUUUAAACCAUCAUCGCCACAAACACGUGAGCGAUGUGUCGUACCAUGAUGAUAAUUCCAUGUCUGCAAAGUCACUAGGCAGAAACUUUCAACUCCACUGAGGUAUCACGGGACCACGAUGACAUCUGUGGUCCACCAUGGGCUGGAGGAUGUUAUGUGAAGCAUGGUUGUGUUUUGUGAUCAUCAUAGCUCAGCAAUAGGACACAAGGGACUGCCAGGAAGCUGCAGGAGCUACUGCCCACCAUGAGGCAAGAGGAUUGUAACACACUGUAUUGCUAGCAUGAG
rnacentral:lncRNA from 1 species